CCGGUACCAAAGGGUACCCAGCCAUAUCAAAAUCGCCCAGCUCGUCCCGAGCCCCCUGCUGGCUCUCAUUUUUCUCAUCUUCCUCACACUCUAAAUUUUUCUCCACCUCUCACACACUCCAAUAAUCUUUAUUUUUCUCCACCAUUUUAACAAGAUUAACGGCAUACAUCUAUCCAAGGGUUAGCAAUAUCAUCCUUCCUUCCGGCGUUCCUAAUUUAGCUCAGUUCUUUGGUAGUUUUAACUCGUACUAUUUUUGUAGUGCAAUCAAGGUGUUCGAUGAAAUGCCUAAGUUAGUGAUUUUAUUUUUUUAUAUGCAAUUUGAGCUGAAAUUAUGGUAUGUUUUGUAGGUUUUAAUUAGUAUCAUCCCCGUCCUCACCGCCGUCGAUCGCUAGCGUCGUCCCCUAGCCGGCACGGUACCACCUCGAUGAGUCGACAAUGGAUGUACGGUGACCGGUGCCAUCCCGAGUUCAUUACUGGCAUGCAUUAUUUUCUCAACGUGGCUGAGGCAAACAGGCAGUCGAAUGGUUUCAUGUAUUGUCCAUGUAGUUCCUGUAAGAAUAUGAAGGAUUACUCUA